rfam:Epulopiscium sp. Nele67-Bin004 Nele67MMBin003_126, whole genome shotgun sequence.
CCUGUGGAGAGUUACAUCAAAUGUUAUUAGGGGGAUAGUGCCGAGGACAGAUUCUAUGAAGCAGGAA